GGCGCGAUGGCAGAGUGGUUAUGCAGCGGCCUGCAAAGCCGUGUACGUCGGUUCGAUUCCGGCUCGCGCCUCCA
rnacentral:tRNA from 2 species